UACGUAGGGUGCGAGCGUUUGUCCGGAAUUACUGGGCGUAAAGAGCUCGUAGGUGGUUUGUCGCGUUGUUCGUGAAAACUCACAGCUCAACUGUGGGCGUGCGGGCGAUACGGGCAGACUGGAGUACUGCAGGGGAGACUGGAAUUCCUGGUGUAGCGGUGGAAUGCGCAGAUAUCAGGAGGAACACCGGUGGCGAAGGCGACUACCUGGCCUGUUCUUGACGCUGAGGCGCGAAAGCUAGGGGAGCAAACGGG
rnacentral:rRNA from 1 species